ensembl:lncRNA
GGAUUUCCUGAUAAUUACCCCAUCAACAACAUGAUAAACAAUUUAUCUAUGUAAUCAAAAAAUAAAAACUUAAUGGGACUUAUGUCAACAUAUAAUCUUCAUAAUAACUUGUUUGCUGACUGGAUGAAAUGUGCACAAAGCAGCUGUCACUAUGUAAUCAAUAACAUAAUGCUUAUGUGACUCAGAUUAUCAUCCUAACACCCAGUAUGAUUUAUUGGACUAGUUAACGAAAUAGAAGUUUUACUCUGCUGCAGUCCAGGGAACCACAUGUACACUUAAUAUACAGAGCCAUCAUCAGUUUGUUUUGUUUACAGAAAGCUCAAAUAAAUGUAGUUUUUAUGAAAAUUUGUUGCUAUGAUUAAACUAUAAGAAUUUGAGUUGGUGGAUGAAUGGAUGGGCUGGAGCCAAUCCCAGCUGCCAUAGGGCACGAGCCAUUUGUACCUGGCAUGAAGGUCCUGGGUCAUGGCAAGAAUUUUUUAAACAGGUAUUAACAGGAUGAAUUGAAUUUUUUCUGGCAGCAGGCACUCAUGUGUGCACUUGAUAUAUAAAUAAUUAGGCACUGUCCAUGUUUCAAAAACUUCACAAACUACUUCAAAUGUGCAUGUGGGUCACAAGUACUCUCACACAUGCAUCAAGGCCAGUGUCAGGCUGGUAUUAAUAGAGCUCCUAGGGGCUUCAUGUUUAGUAGGACAUGGAAUAACUCUUCAGAAAAUCUGACGGUUUAGCUGUCUUUUUGACCAUCUUUGCCAGAAAACUUCAUGUGUUCAAAGUUUUUAAGGCACUAGUACAGUAGAGGCAGUAGGUGACAUAUAUUAACCCAAGCCUCCCCUUCUUUGACAAGAAAGCAUUUACAUCAGUUGGGGAGGGGGGGCAAUAAGAGCCCUUGUGGUUGUGCUGCCUCUGGUUAGUGAGGUUUUAGUAGCACUUCUGUAAGUACUGUACUUCUGUAUUAGCAAAGUUGGUGGGAAGGGCACAGCUGACGUAGGGCGCGUCCACUUUUCAAGAAGACUUUUCAAUGACUUUGAUUCAUUUCAUGGUGUUUGGACCUCUUUUACCUGGAGUUCUUGAACUCUUUCUUUUAAUUUUCUUCAUAUUUUCUGCCUGUAUGUAUUUCAGAAAAUGCUUUUGAAACAUCAGCAGCACCUGCAGUGGCAAAGAGAGGCAUAGCGGCCAGUAACUGGCAGCCAUGCAGGUGGAAAUAACAGUAUGUCUAUUGUUCUCUUUUACUUUUAAGUGUUUGGGUCUCAGUAAAAGAAUGCAAUACAAAUACUGAUUGACAUAGGAAUUAGUUUAUAAUUUUGUUUGCAUUUGUUGCUAUUUACCUGCACUAGUGGACUGCUUUCAUAUGCUGAACCCACCUGAACUUGGUCAGUAGUGUAGUUUAAAAAAAUUAAAAUAGGAAGAAUUUGAUUUUGUAUAUUUAAUCGAAAAACGGCAAUUUUCAUCCAAACCAUUUGUAUCAUCAUGCAAAAUACCAAACAACAACCUAACAACUUCUGAACAGAAGUCUUGACAAAGGACAACUCUGGAGGAGAUUAACAGCCACCAUGGAUCAUUUCAUGCUUUCACAAAGGCUGUACAGUGAUCACCUCUAAUACUCAUAACCCACAUACAGACUGGCCGGGCAAACAUCCAAGUUCCCUCCCAGAGACCUUUCCACAGAGGCUCGGAAAGUUCAUCUACUCGAAGUUGGAAAGCAUUAUCAAAUCUCCCUUCUUUAGGAAAAAUAAACAAAGAAUACAUACGCAACAGUCAGACCCCCAACCACCCCUCUCAGCCAAAACAGGAAGCUGAUCCAAGAAGCUGUGCUGUAAAGUUUGAUGGACCAGUCUAUAUUAAUUUCUCAAGCUAUACACAAUAUCCUUAAAGCUAAUUUUAAUAGUUAGGAAUCAGCCUACCAAGGCCUCUGACUUUGAGUGUCAUCUCAUCUAAAAGCACUCAACGACUCAGCAGCUCCCUCUGCAAGUAAUGGGCUUACAAGAGAGUCAGCCCAGGCAGGCACCAGAGACUCACCAAAGGCCACUUCUUCCAGGACAAGAUUGCCUUGGGAGACCCUUCCCGAGGCGAGGUGCCCCUGCUAGCUAACCUCCUGCUGUCAACUGGGGAAGCAAAUGGUGCAAUUCAUGGAGAGGUGCACUUAGAUUAGAAAUUUAGAAUUAAAAAUCAUUUAAAAAAUAUUAGAUUAGGUAUUUGAUUAAUACAUUGACAGUUUAGUUUUCAGCACAAAGAUAUUUGCAAGUGAAACAUUUUAACAAUGUUUUGUUUAAUAAUGUUUUUCUUCUUCACACCAAAAAUAAAUAAACAACUAAAUAAAUCCUCAUUCUAGUGUCUUUUCUUUGAUGUUACACUAUGUUAUGAACUUUUGAACUGGCCUCCUUUUCUUGCACAAACAUUUAUCACUGUGACCGAUUUAGUGCCUGGCAUGCCUGAAAACAAAGCUCUGCCUACAGUUUGAUUUCUAUCCAAGACAUUUCACUACACUUGUUCUUGAAAUUGUAAUCUGCUCAGGUGUUAAAUCCUUGGCCACUUUAACUUCAGAUAAAGACUAGAACAGGAAAGGAUCAAAUAAACAAGAGACAGGAUGACGCAAAGUGAAUUGUAGAUGGCCCGAGGCCACAGAGGAGCUAGAAACUGGUCAACAUCACUGCUGAGGAAAGUAAUAUUCAGGUAGACAUAAAGUAAAGAGCCCAGCUUGUGCCAUUGAAUUUCAAUGUAUAUCUCUCUCACUGGCAUUAAAUAGCAUUAUCAUAUGUUCUUUGAUAUAUCUUUAACAGGAUCUAGAAACAGUCACAUUUUCUGAGGUAACAGCUUGCUUCAAAACCUCUUUGUGUGAGGUAUAUAUUACUCACAUGUGACACAAUAGGUACCUACAGUACAAUAUUUUAACAGAGCAGAGUGCCCAGACAUACCAAACAUAUUUUGGGGGAAAUACCGAAAGGGGAGAAUACCCUGAAAAUCAAGUUGUGGUGUUUACCAGUACCUUGAGCCACUUUAUUUACUGCACAGCCUGUUUUUCCUUACUGAAAACAAAUGGAGCAUUUCCUGGUGCAGUGGAAUGACAAAUCGAUUCUUAGUUGACUAACAAGAUCCAGUGUUUAGAUUAAACCUCAAAGCAGAAACCUCUGGUUAGAACUUUGAUUGACAGAUAUUAAAAACACCUCUUUAGCUUUUCAUUACUUCUUUAAUCUCUUUCUUUUGUGUGAAAUUGGAAUUUCUAAGACACUGAAACUGGCUGAUCCAGACCUGACUGAAAUGGAUGACUUCAAGAUUAAACAGCUUCUAAGUCUUACAUCAGUCUAUUGUUGUUCAUCAGAUCUUACGAUCCUGUCACUGAAAAGAUGUUGCAAGCUAUGAGUUUACCCAGAAAUAAGAAAAGAUAAGAUAAACCUUUAUUAGUCCCACACGUGGGAAAUUUUUG